UCUAGGCCCCGUCAGGAGCCCGAGUUGUAAUUUGGAGAGGACACUUCGGGUGCCUCGUAACGGCGAGUGAAGCGGCAAGAGCUCAAAUUUGAAAGCUGGCCCCUUCGGGGUCCGCGUUGUAAUUUGCAGAGGAUGCUUCGGGUGCGGCCCCUGUCUAAGUGCCCUGGAACGGGCCGUCAGAGAGGGUGAGAAUCCCGUCUUGGGCAGGGUGCCCGUGCCCGUGUGAAGCUCCUUCGACGAGUCGAGUUGUUUGGGAAUGCAGCUCUAAAUGGGUGGUAAAUUUCAUCUAAAGCUAAAUACCGGCCGGAGACCGAUAGCGCACAAGUAGAGUGAUCGAAAGAUGAAAAGCACUUUGAAAAGAGAGUUAAACAGCACGUGAAAUUGUUGAAAGGGAAGCGCUUGCGACCAGACUCGGCCCCGGGGUUCAGCCAGCACUCGUGCUGGUGUACUUCCCCGGGGGCGGGCCAGCGUCGGUUUGGGCGGCCGGUCAAAGGCCCCAGGAAUGUAUCGCCCUCCGGGGUUGUCUUAUAGCCUGGGGUGCAAUGCGGCCAGCCCGGACCGAGGAACGCGCUUCGGCACGGACGCUGGCGUAAUGGUCGCAAACGACCCGUCUUGAAACACGGAC
rnacentral:rRNA from 1 species